GGUACAAAUAUAUAAAUAACUCAUAUAAUCAUGGGGAUAUGGCCCAUAAGUUUCUACCGGACGACCAAUAUAAUCGACCGACUAUGAGUGAAAGCACAUCUAGG
rnacentral:ncRNA from 2 species